UUUUAUGGAGAGUUUGAUCCUGGCUCAGGAUGAACGCUGGCGGCGUGCCUAAUACAUGCAAGUCGAGCGAACAGAUGAGGAGCUUGCUCCUCUGACGUUAGCGGCGGACGGGUGAGUAACACGUGGAUAACCUACCUAUAAGACUGGGAUAACUACGGGAAACCGGAGCUAAUACCGGAUAAUAUAUUGAACCGCAUGGUUCAAUAGUGAAAGACGGUUUUGCUGUCACUUAUAGAUGGAUCCGCGCCGCAUUAGCUAGUUGGUAAGGUAACGGCUUACCAAGGCAACGAUGCGUAGCCGACCUGAGAGGGUGAUCGGCCACACUGGAACUGAGACACGGUCCAGACUCCUACGGGAGGCAGCAGUAGGGAAUCUUCCGCAAUGGGCGAAAGCCUGACGGAGCAACGCCGCGUGAGUGAUGAAGGUCUUCGGAUCGUAAAACUCUGUUAUUAGGGAAGAACAAAUGUGUAAGUAACUAUGCACGUCUUGACGGUACCUAAUCAGAAAGCCACGGCUAACUACGUGCCAGCAGCCGCGGUAAUACGUAGGUGGCAAGCGUUAUCCGGAAUUAUUGGGCGUAAAGCGC
rnacentral:rRNA from 1 species